GGAGGAAUACUCAAGUGGUUAAGAGGGCUGUCUUGAAAACAGCUAGGCGGUAAAACGUGCGUGGGUUCAAAUCCUACUUCCUCCG
rnacentral:tRNA from 3 species